rnacentral:rRNA from 1 species
GUGCCAGCCGCCGCGGUAAUACCGGCAGCCCAAGUGAUGGCCGAUCUUAUUGGGCCUAAAGCGUCCGUAGCUGGCUGCGCAAGUCCGUCGGGAAAUCCAUCAGCCCAACUGAUGGGCGUCCGGCGGAAACUGCACGGCUUGGGACCGGAAGGCUCGAGAGGUACGUCCGGGGUAGGAGUGAAAUCCCGUAAUCCUGGACGGACCGCCGAUGGCGAAAGCACGUCGCGAGGACGGAUCCGACAGUGAGGGACGAAAGCCAGGGUCUCGAACCGGAUUAGAAACCCUAGUAGUCC